GCCGGGGUGGCGGAAACGGCAGACGCGGCGGACUCAAACUCCGCUGGCCCUCAAGGCCGUGCGGGUUCGACUCCCGCCCCCGGCACCA
rnacentral:tRNA from 1 species